AUGAGGCUCCAGUGUCGCCUGGAGGAAACCGAUACUCAUGCUUGUUACAAUUAUGGAGGCUGCUGCCACCAUUACGCCAGGAAUCCUUAAGACCUUCAUGAAACCUGGGAGGAGGGAUCGGAUGAGACUUUAGUCUUGAGUAUCUUGCUCGUCAUUGUCAUGAGUUGGUAGGACAAAAGCUGUCAUGACAGCUGCCAAGAACAGGGCUGAUCCCAACACAGCAAAAGAUUAAUGAAACCAUGAGUCACCCGAACCUGCGCGUCGUUUACUAGAUUAGAGAUUACCUGAUAAAGGGCCCCACCAACUGUAGGUCCGACUAUAAGUCCAAGACCGAAGAAUGUCUCCAGACUUGCAAAAGUCGUUGCGAC